rnacentral:rRNA from 1 species
AAGUCAGGUAGCAAGGGCGCAGGGCGGAUGCCUUGGCUCUGGGAAGCGAUGAAGGACGUGGCAAGCUGCGAUAAGCCUCGGGGAAGAGCAAACAUCUUUUGAUCCGGGGAUUUCCGAAUGGGGUAACCCGCAUGGCUGUUGAGGCCAUGCACUGCUGACUGAAUCCAUAGGUCAGCAGGGCGAACUCGGGGAACUGAAACAUCUCAGUACCCGAAGGAAAAGAAAUCAAUCGAGAUUCCCUCAGUAGCGGCGAGCGAAGGGGGAAGAGCCUAAACCGCCGGGUGCGCCCGGUGGGGUUGUAGGGCCGCCAACAAAGGAUAAUAAGAGGAUUAGCUGAAGUGACUGGGAAGGCACGGCGCAGAGGGUUAGACC